GACGAACCGUGCAAACGUUGUUCGGAAUCACUGGGCUUAAAGGGCGCGUAGGCGGGUGGUCAAGUCAGGGGUGAAAUCUUUCGGCUCAACCGGAAAACAGCCUCUGAUACUGACCGUCUUGAGCGAGGUAGGGGCAUGUGGAACUUCCGGUGGAGCGGUGAAAUGCGUUGAUAUCGGAAGGAACGCCGGUGGCGAAAGCGACGUGCUGGACCUCUUCUGACGCUGAUGCGCGAAAGCUAGGGGAGCGAACGGG
rnacentral:rRNA from 1 species